UACAGAGGGGGCAAGCGUUAUUCGGAAUUAUUGGGCGUAAAGGGCGCGUAGGCGGCUUGGCAAGUGGAAGGUGAAAUCCCUCGGCUUAACCGAGGAACUGCCCUCCAAACUGCUUGGCUUGAGACCGGGAGAGGGAUGCGGAAUUCCAGGUGUAGCGGUGAAAUGCGUAGAUAUCUGGAGGAACACCGGUGGCGAAGGCGGCAUCCUGGACCGGCAUUGACGCUGAGGCGCGAAAGCUAGGGGAGCAAACGGG
rnacentral:rRNA from 1 species